rnacentral:lncRNA from 1 species
ACAGGGAGAGGCUUCUCCCAUUGCAGUCCUAGCUCCAGAGGGGAUGGAGAGGCGCGACUGUGGGAGCUGGAAGGGGCACCACCCGGCAAUUGCGGGAUAAAGCAAAUGCUGCACACAGAGUGUGAAACUUAACCUGGUUGAGAAUUUUCGGCACAUCAUGAAAUCAUAAGUUUGUAUUGGAAAGUCCAUUCUCUAGACAUCCGUGAACAAAGUACUGAGGGGACGUAGGAGAUUGGCACUGAAAAUGCGAGAACCCCCAUUUAAGUGUUACUUAGACCAAUCUGUUUUACGCUUUGGAAAAGCAAGUUUUUUUUCCAACUUAUACGGUAGCUGGAAUAAUAGAAUUAUGUUCCCAAAGCGUUGAGAGGAAAUGGAGAGUUUGUUUAUGGCCUAUCUUCUGCUAAUACCAGUCUGUAGCUUGUCUACAAUGGGGUAGUAGUCACCUGAGGUUUGUCACAAUUCUGAACUCCCGAUUUGCUUUCCUGUCCUCACCCCCAACUGUGAGUUAUCAGGAGUUGUGAU